rnacentral:rRNA from 1 species
UACGUAGGUGGCAAGCGUUGUCCGGAUUUACUGGGCGUAAAGGGCGCGCAGGCGGUCGUCCAAGUCGCGUGUGAAAGCCCCCGGCUCAACUGGGGAGGGUCACGCGAUACUGGUCGACUCGAAGGCAGGAGAGGGUAGUGGAAUUCCCGGUGUAGUGGUGAAAUGCGUAGAUAUCGGGAGGAACACCAGUGGCGAAGGCGGGUUGCUGGGCCGACACUGACGCUGAUGCGCGAAAGCGUGGGGAGCGAACAGG